CCUACGGGGGGCAGCAGUAGGGAAUCUUUCACAAUGGGCGAAAGCCUGAUGGAGCAACGCCGCGUGCAGGAUGAAGGCCUUCGGGUUGUAAACUGCUUUUAUAAGCGAGAAAUAUGAUGGUAACUUAUGAAUAAGGAUCGGCUAACUACGUGCCAGCAGCCGCGGUCAUACGUAGGAUCCGAGAAUUAUCCGGAGUGACUGGGUGUAAAGAGUUGCGUAGGUGGCAUAAUAAGUAGCUAGUGAAAUCUGGUGGCUCAACCAUUCAGACUAUUAGGUAAACUGUUAAGCUCGAGACCGUUAGGGGUAACUGGAAUUUCUAGUGUAGGAGUGAAAUCCGUAGAUAUUAGAAGGAACACCAAUAGCGUAGGCAGGUUGCUGGGACGGUUCUGACACUAAGGCACGAAAGCGUAGGGAGCAAACGGGAUUAGAUACCCCUGUAGUC
rnacentral:rRNA from 1 species